CAACCCUCAAGCAUUGCUUGGUAUUGGGCUCCGCUGCUCACCCAGCGGGCCUUAAAAUCAGUGGCGGUGCCGCCGGGCCCUGAGCGUAGUAAAUAUCCUCGCUAUAGGGACCCGGUGGACGCUGGCCAUCAACCCCCACUCUCUAAGU
rnacentral:misc_RNA from 1 species